rnacentral:rRNA from 1 species
AAAGAUUAAGCCAUGCAUGUCUAAGUAUAAGCAAUUAUACCGUGAAACUGCGAAUGGCUCAUUAAAUCAGUUAUCGUUUAUUUGAUAGUACCUUACUACUUGGAUAACCGUGGUAAUUCUAGAGCUAAUACAUGCUUACAACCUCGACUUCGGAAGGGGUGUAUUUAUUAGAUAAAAAACCAACGCCCUUCGGGGCUUCUUGGUGAUUCAUGAUAACUUUACGGAUCGCAUGGCCUUGCGCCGGCGACGGUUCAUUCAAAUUUCUGCCCUAUCAACUUUCGAUGGUAAGGUAUUGGCUUACCAUGGUUUCAACGGGUAACGGGGAAUUAGGGUUCGAUUCCGGAGAGGGAGCCUGAGAAACGGCUACCACAUCCAAGGAAGGCAGCAGGCGCGCAAAUUACCCAAUCCCAAUACGGGGAGGUAGUGACAAUAAAUACUGAUACAGGGCUCUUUUGGGUCUUGUAAUUGGAAUGAGUACAAUUUAAACCUCUUAACGAGGAACAAUUGGAGGGCAAGUCUGGUGCCAGCAGCCGCGGUAAUUCCAGCUCCAAUAGCGUAUAUUAAAGUUGUUGCAGUUAAAAAGCUCGUAGUUGAACCUUGGGUCUGGCUGGCAGGUCCGCCUCACCGCGUGUACUUGUCCGGCCGGGCCUUCCUUCUGGAGAACCUCAUGCCCUUCACUGGGCGUGUUGGGGACCAGGACUUUUACUUUGAAAAAAUUAGAGUGUUCAAAGCAGGCCUUUGCUCGAAUACGUUAGCAUGGAAUAAUAGAAUAGGACGUGCGGUCCUAUUUUGUUGGUUUCUAGGACCGCCGUAAUGAUUAAUAGGGACAGUCGGGGGCAUCAGUAUUCAAUUGUCAGAGGUGAAAUUCUUGGAUUUAUUGAAGACUAACUACUGCGAAAGCAUUUGCCAAGGAUGUUUUCAUUAAUCAGUGAACGAAAGUUAGGGGAUCGAAGACGAUCAGAUACCGUCGUAGUCUUAACCGUAAACUAUGCCGACUAGGGAUCGGGCGAUGUUAUUUUUCUGACUCGCUCGGCACCUUACGAGAAAUCAAAGUUUUUGGGUUCUGGGGGGGAGUAUGGUCGCAAGGCUGAAACUUAA